AUGGGCGAGUACCUGAACAACUGCAUCGCGGCUGCUCCCCUUCACCACCUCCUCGAGCUUCACGUUGUCCAGCUGAUCGAAUCAACACAAAAUCAGAAAGGAGAACCCCAAUCAGCACCCAAGCGAGAUCUCCGCACCCCCAUAACCGCUCAAGACAGGGGAAACAGAGGAAAGCACAGCAUCGACCAGCAGCACGGCGGCGCGGGGGAAGUAGCGGAAGAUGUGGUCCCCGACGCGCUUGGCGACGGCGGGGAGGUCGGCGUCGUCGCGGCGCGCGUUGGCCUGGUAGUAUCCGACGACGGCGAGGCCCUGCGCCUGGAAGUGGUCCUCGACGAGGGUGAGCGCGAGCUCGAGCGUGGGGAGCAGCGGGAGGUGGUGCGGCUAGUGGGAGAGCGGCACGGCGUCGGCGACCGAGACGACGGCCGGGGAGGCGGCCGGGUCCGCCAGGCGGCCGACGAGGAGCCCGUUGACGGCCGCCGCCGGGUGCUUGAGCGCGUGCAGCUCGAGCUUCACGUACGCCGCCUGCGGCGGCGGACGUGGCGGCGGCGAGCGUGCGCGAGCUCGAGAGGAUGGAUGGAUGGCGGCGGCGAGCGUGCGCGAGCGUGGCGGCGGCGAGAUUGCAUCUGGGGGCGGCGACGAUGGAGUGGGAUGGGAUAG
rnacentral:rRNA from 1 species